rnacentral:rRNA from 1 species
GCUUAGAGAGGGGUCAAUGUCCUAUCAGCUAGUUGGUAGGGUAAUGGCCUACCAAGGCUAAGACGGGUAGCCGGCCUGAGAGGGUGGUCGGCCACACUGGGACUGAGACACUGCCCAGACUCCUACGGGAGGCUGCAGUCGAGAAUCUUUCGCAAUGCCCGAAAGGGUGACGAAGCGACGCCGCGUGUGGGAAGAAGGCCUUCGGGUUGUAAACCACUGUCGGGAGUUAAGAAAUGCAAGGGUGUUAAUAGCAUCCUUGCUUGACUAAGGCUCCGGAGGAAGCCACGGCUAACUCUGUGCCAGCAGCCGCGGUAAUACAGAGGCGGCAAGCGUUGUUCGGAAUUAUUGGGCGUAAAGAGCACGUAGGCGGCUUUGUAAGUCAGUUGUGAAAGUCUUCUGCUCAACGGAAGAACAGCAUCUGAUACUGCAAGGCUAGAGUGCGGAAGGG